GUUGGCUUGCUUGAAUUCAGAGGUAAUUUUUGCAGAAUGUGCAAGCUCAGUGAUACCAGCAUAUAUACCCAUAAUAGAGAAACGUAAAGACACACCAUUCAACGAUCAGCAUAAGGCGUGGCAACAACUGAGAAGGGGUCUAUAUGUUGAAUUCAACUUGGUUUAUGAUCGCGGAACAACAUUUGGUCUGAAAACAGGAGGGCGAAUAGAGAGUAUUCUUGUCUCUCUUCCGCUAUCCGCAAGAUGGGAAUAUGACCAUGUAAAGUUCCCUAUCAUGUUAUCCACAUCAAGAAACUUUCUAAAUCAUGAUUUAUUGUUGUUGAGUGGUAAGAGUAUAAAACUGAGUACUGAUAUUGUGGUUCUCUCUUGGUUGCGGAUGAUAUAUAUUCGUGGCUUA